UUGCGGUUAAAAAGCUCGUAGUUGGAUUUCUGUCGGUGAGUGAAAGUCCGCUCUCAGUGGUUGGUACUUUUCACGCCACCGGCAUCUUCCUGGGGAUUGUGUCUGCUCUUUGUUGAGUGGCGCAUAAUCCAGGACUUUUACUUUGAAGAAAUGAGAGUGUUUCAAGCAGGCCUACGCCGUGAAUACGUUAGCAUGGAAUAAUAGCAUCGGACCUCGUUCCAAAGCUGUUGGUUUCUUGGACCGAGGUAAAGGUGAAUAGGGAUUGUUGGGGGCAUUCGUAUUUAACUGUCAGAGGUGAAAUUCUUGGAUUUGUUGAAGACGGACUACUGCGAAAGCAUCUGCCAAAGAUGUUCUCAUUGAUCAAGAACGAAAGUUAGGUGAUCGAGACGAUC
rnacentral:rRNA from 1 species